GAUCAUGGCUCAGGAUGAACGCUGGCGGCGUGCUUAACACAUGCAAGUCGAACGAAGCACUUUGGGCAGAUUCUUCGGAUGAAGUCCUUAGUGACUGAGUGGCGGACGGGUGAGUAACGCGUGGGUAACCUGCCUCAUACAGGGGGAUAACAGUUAGAAAUGGCUGCUAAUACCGCAUAAGCGCACGGUACUGCAUGGUACAGUGUGAAAAGGAGCAAUCCGCUUUGAG
rnacentral:rRNA from 1 species